GUGAGGAAUUUUCCGCAAUGGGCGAAAGCCUGACGGAGCAAUGCCGCGUGAAGGAUGAAGGCCUAUGGGUUGUAAACUUCUUUUCUCAGAAAAGAAUUAUGACGGUAUCUGAGGAAUAAGCAUCGGCUAACUCUGUGCCAGCAGCCGCGGUAAGACAGAGGAUGCAAGCGUUAUCCGGAAUGAUUGGGCGUAAAGCGUCUGUAGGUUGUUUAAAAAGUAUUCUGUCAAAGAUUAGGGCUUAACCCUAGAUAGGCAGAAUAAACUUUUAAGCUAUAGUUUGGUAGAGGCAGAGGGAAUUCCCGGUGGAGCGGUGAAAUGCGUAGAUAUCGGGAGGAACACCAAAGGCGAAGGCACUCUGCUGGGCCAAUACUAACACUGAGAGACGAAAGCGAGGGGAGCAAAUGGGAUUAGAAACCCCUGUAGUCC
rnacentral:rRNA from 1 species